GGUGGGUUGUGCCGAAUUGGUAAGGCGAUGGUCCCGAAAACCAUUGGGAGAAAUCCCUUGCAGGUUCGAGUCCUGCACCCACCGCCA
rnacentral:tRNA from 2 species